GUUGACCUCGGAUCAGGUAGGGAUACCCGCUGAACUUAAGCAUAUCAAUAAGCGGAAGAAUCAUUACUGAGUGAGGGCUCAUGCCGACCUCCAA
rnacentral:rRNA from 1 species